UACGUAGGGACCGAGCGUUGUCCGGAAUUAUUGGGCGUAAAGAGCUCGUAGGCGGUGUGUCGCGUCGGCCGUGAAAACCUGCAGCUUAACUGUGGGCUUGCGGUCGAUACGGGCAUCACUGGAGUUCGGCAGGGGAGACUGGAAUUCCUGGUGUAGCGGUGAAAUGCGCAGAUAUCAGGAGGAACACCGGUGGCGAAGGCGGGUCUCUGGGCCGAUACUGACGCUGAGGAGCGAAAGCGUGGGGAGCGAACAGG
rnacentral:rRNA from 1 species